AGUUCCGGGAGAGGGAUGUUGGUGCCAGGCACUUGGUGAACGAAGUGCUGGCUACAAGGGAUCUGGGUGCAGAUGCUCAGAAUCCCCUUGCUUCCCAUCUUAAUAAGUCUGGAAGGCAGUACGAGAAGGAUGGGGCAGGAAGACCUAUUGAUUGCCUGGAGAGAGGGUGUAGAGAGUCCCCCAAGGAAUACCUAUGCUAAUAAGCCGGAGAAAUGAAGAACCAGCCAAAGAAAGGAGGUGAGAAAUAAGGGUAGUUUUAAACGCCAGAAGAGGAAAACCAAGAUAACCUAAGCAGAAAGAGGGGGAGCAUAAAAAGAAGAAAAGCAAGUGAGGAGAGGAGCCAGUGCACAGAGAAGAUGCGCUCCCCUCAGAAUCACUGGGGCAUCAACGCAGAAGAAAUCCACCCAGUGUUAUCUUGGUUCUGAAGGACCAUGGAAGACGAGAAAAUCGGGGCCGGGGGAUUGGAGUAAAAUGAUCUUUGUGGAGAAAAAGUAUAAAACAGUUACUGAAGCUGGACAUAGUAAACACGGGGCUCGUUAUCAAAUGAAAGGGAAGACCUCCCAUUUGAUAUACUUGUCCAGCUUGAGCUCCUUGUCAAGUUUCCACCGAGUCAUUUUGUGUCUUUAUCCCCAGCACUUGCUGAGUCUGAAACUCAAGCAAGUCUGUGUUUUCUCAGUUUUCUGUUCUAAAGGGCAGCCGGGUUAUCUGGAGGCAGAGCUUGUUGCUCAGCCAGAUUUGGCUCUCUGUCAUCCACAGAAAAAAAUGACCCAGUGAGCUCAUUUCCAAUCACCAAGUGCUGCUGCCAGGAAGAGUUCCAAAGCCAAGAACACAAAGGAGAGGGGGCCGUGCUUCCUGCCUCCGGUGGGCUCCUGCUUUCCUUCAUCGCUAGGCUAUGGAGUUAUCAGUUGCUGCCAUAGAGGCUAACCCCAGGAUAAAAGGGAGCAUGCCCUGCACAAAGCGGGAACCACACACAGCUUUGAGAGCUAAGGGGGAAGAACCUUGAGGAGAGGAAGACGAUGUGGUCCAGCUUGUGUACAUCAACUGGUUAGGUCUGCGCUCCAAAGAGUCAGACUGACAAUUUCACGAAGGGUUCUGAUUCAACUGCUCAUUUAUAAAAAACACUUAAAGGGGGGUGAUGAGGGAUACUGAAGGGGCAAAAUGUUUGUUUCAGAAUUCUUUCAGAAUUUAUCUUAGAGCAAAGAAGAACCAUGCCGAUAUACAAAGUAGUCACGAACUUUAUAUAAACAUCAUGUCAGAAAAAGGCUGCACAAAACUCCCCAUCAGUUGUUGACCAACUCACCUGUGAAGGAUGUCAGCUCACCUGUGAAGGAUGUCAGCUCACCUGUGAAGGAUGUCAGCUCACCUGUGAAGGAUGUCAGCUCACCUGUGAAGGAUGUCUCUCAAGCUGCUCUAGCUGGAAUGGGUGCACUGACGCCUAAGCCCAGGGAAGGCUCCAUUCAUUGAGGUCUAAGGAGAGAAUCAAGCGACUGAGAGUGAGUUAGUAUCUCACUCAGUUCACCAAGCAGAUAGAAAACACCUCCAAGGAUAUAGGAGUCUGAAGCAGAGAGGAACAACAGACGCUCAAUAGUUUCCUGAUCACAGCCAACAGUUUCAAGUCCAGUCAGCAAAUGCACUGGGUUUGGGGUGAGAAUCCUUGUGUGGUUCCCGGUGAGGUAAAUGUUUGCCUGUGAGACUGCAAACAUGUCAUUUGAGUUUUCUACGUUGAAAUAGAGGCAGCGUCUCAGGAAUAAAUUGCAGACUGGUGAGGGCUUCCACCGAGGUAUGGAGCCCUAAGACACUGUGUAAGCUUGAAAACAUUUCAGAAGGUAGAUUUUAUUUAAAGGGAUCAUGAUGAGACUUAAACAUGUGACAGCAUAUUAAAACCUUAGAACAUAGUAUUUUAGAAAAAAAAAAAAAGACAA